UUUGGUGCUAUGAGGAACUGUUUGUGGACUAGAGUUUCUGAUCUAGCGGUUGAAGACAAACCCUUGGCUGUCUGAGCACUAAU